GGGGGCAUAGCUCAGUGGAUAGAGCAGUGGUUUUCUAAACCAUUGGUCGGGGGUUCAAGUCCCUCUGCCCCUGCCA
rnacentral:tRNA from 1 species